rnacentral:rRNA from 1 species
UGCCAGCCGCCGCGGUAACACGAACUGUGCGAACGUUAUUCGGAAUCACUGGGCUUAAAGGGUGCGUAGGCGGUCUUGUAGGUCAGAUGUGAAAGCCCACGGCUCAACCGUGGAAUUGCGUUUGAAACCACAAGACUUGAGUGAGAUAGAGGUAAGCGGAACUGAUGGUGGAGCGGUGAAAUGCGUUGAUAUCAUCAGGAACACCGGUGGCGAAAGCGGCUUACUGGGUCUCUACUGACGCUGAGGCACGAAAGCGUGGGGGGCAAACAGGAUUAGAUA